UGGAUAAAAGUAAAUGGUGGAGGAAGUAAGUACACCCCUUAGUGCAAUAGAAUGUAAAACCACCAUUUUAAUACAAGUGAGUUUGGCUCCAGACAACCCAGUGUGAAGACCCCACCCACCCUAUUGUUGACCCAGGAAGGUAAGGCCAGUCCUUGUUUUGUUUAGUGUAAAAAUUCUACAAAUCAUGAUCAAAAAAAAAAAAAGGAUAGUACAGUAAAACUUUAUUUUGAAUGUUGAAAAACAAACCUUACCCGUCAUCAUAACUACAGAACACACAACAUAAAGGAAAAAAAUCAUGGCUGAACAAGCAAUAUAUGACAUCAUUAACCAUACAUGGAUUUUAAUUCAGAAUUUCUCUCAAAAGUCUGGUUGAAGUUAUUGGUAACAGAAAAAAGAAAACUUAGAUAUCUCCAAAUACACACAAGAUUGAAAAUGUGGUGUCCUGGAAUGAGAGCAGUAAAACCUUUGGUCAUUUCUAUGUUAACCCCACAGAAGGCAGCACCAGGUUGGUGCUGCCUUCUGCUUCUUUCCUAAUGAUUGAUUAAUAUAGUAUGACUGACCCUGCUGAUUGUCCAUCCUGCUCUAUUGCUCCUCCAGCUUUCCUUCCAUCCACUUGUCUGUAAAAGUCACAUCAUACAACAUUUAAUUUCCCUUUUAGGAAUAAAAAGUAUUUUUAAAUUGAACUGAAGUUAUUUAAGUUCCACCAUUAAAUUCAGUUGAUGUAGAAUUUAUUAAACUUUAGUCACAUCUGAACUGAUUGGAGAUGGGAAAAUCAAACAGCUCUAGAACUUGUUGUGGAACAAAUCUUCAGAGAACAUCUCAGUCAAUCAGAAUGGAAGAAAAAAAAUAUUUGUAAUUAUUU